UACGGAGGGGGCUAGCGUUGUUCGGAAUUACUGGGCGUAAAGCGCACGCAGGCGGUUUGACAAGUUGGAUGUGAAAUCCCGGAGCUCAACUCCGGAACUGCAUUCAAAACUGUCAGGCUAGAGUCCGGAAGAGGAGAGUGGAAUUCCCAGUGUAGAGGUGAAAUUCGUAGAUAUUGGGAAGAACACCAGUGGCGAAGGCGGCUCUCUGGUCCGGUACUGACGCUCAGGUGCGAAAGCGUGGGGAGCAAACAGGAUUAGAUACCCUGGUAGUCCACGCUGUAAACUAUGAGUGCUAGACGUUGGGGGGCUUGCCCCUCAGUGUCGCAGCUAACGCUUUAAGCACUCCGCCUGGGGAGUACGGUCGCAAGAUUA
rnacentral:rRNA from 1 species